AUGAACGCUAGCUACAGGCUUAACACAUGCAAGUCGAGGGGCAUCAGGAAGAAAGCUUGCUUUCUUUGCUGGCGACCGGCGCACGGGUGAGUAACACGUAUCCAACCUGCCCUUUACUCGGGGAUAGCCUUUCGAAAGAAAGAUUAAUACCCGAUGGCAUAAUGAUUCCGCAUGGUUUCAUUAUUAAAGGAUUCCGGUAAAGGAUGGGGAUGCGUUCCAUUAGGUUGUUGGUGAGGUAACGGCUCACCAAGCCUUCGAUGGAUAGGGGUUCUGAGAGGAAGGUCCCCCACAUUGGAACUGAGACACGGUCCAAACUCCUACGGGAGGCAGCAGUGAGGAAUAUUGGUCAAUGGGCGCUAGCCUGAACCAGCCAAGUAGCGUGAAGGAUGAAGGCUCUAUGGGUCGUAAACUUCUUUUAUAUAAGAAUAAAGUGCAGUAUGUAUACUGUUUUGUAUGUAUUAUAUGAAUAAGGAUCGGCUAACUCCGUGCCAGCAGCCGCGGUAAUACGGAGGAUCCGAGCGUUAUCCGGAUUUAUUGGGUUUAAAGGGAGCGUAGGUGGACUGGUAAGUCAGUUGUGAAAGUUUGCGGCUCAACCGUAAAAUUGCAGUUGAUACUGUCAGUCUUGAGUACAGUAGAGGUGGGCGGAAUUCGUGGUGUAGCGGUGAAAUGCUUAGAUAUCACGAAGAACUCCGAUUGCGAAGGCAGCUCACUGGACUGCAACUGACACUGAUGCUCGAAAGUGUGGGUAUCAAACAGGAUUAGAUACCCUGGUAGUCCACACAGUAAACGAUGAAUACUCGCUGUUUGCGAUAUACAGUAAGCGGCCAAGCGAAAGCAUUAAGUAUUCCACCUGGGGAGUACGCCGGCAACGGUGAAACUCAAAGGAAUUGACGGGGGCCCGCACAAGCGGAGGAACAUGUGGUUUAAUUCGAUGAUACGCGAGGGACCUUACCCGGGCUUAAAUUGCAGUGGAAUGAUGUGGAAACAUGUCAGUGAGCAAUCACCGCUGUGAAGGUGCUGCAUGGUUGUCGUCAGCUCGUGCCGUGAGGUGUCGGCUUAAGUGCCAUAACGAGCGCAACCCUUAUCUUUAGUUACUAACAGGUCAUGCUGAGGACUCUAGAGAGACUGCCGUCGUAAGAUGUGAGGAAGGUGGGGAUGACGUCAAAUCAGCACGGCCCUUACGUCCGGGGCUACACACGUGUUACAAUGGGGGGUACAGAAGGCAGCUAGCGGGUGACCGUAUGCUAAUCCCAAAAUCCUCUCUCAGUUCGGAUCGAAGUCUGCAACCCGACUUCGUGAAGCUGGAUUCGCUAGUAAUCGCGCAUCAGCCACGGCGCGGUGAAUACGUUCCCGGGCCUUGUACACACCGCCCGUCAAGCCAUGGGAGCCGGGGGUACCUGAAGUACGUAACCGCAAGGAUCGUCCUAGGGUAAAACUGGUGACUGGGGCU
rnacentral:rRNA from 1 species